rnacentral:misc_RNA from 1 species
CCGAGUUCAUGCCCUCACGGGUAGACCUCCCACCCUUUGUAUACCACACUUUCGUUGCUUUGGCGGGACGCCUCACGGCCACCGGCUUCGGCUGGUGCGCGCCCGCCAGAGGACCCCAAACCCUAUAUCAUUAGUGUCGUCUGAGUAAAUAUUUAAUAUUUA